rnacentral:lncRNA from 1 species
GAAGAGAGCUGAGGAUAAAGCCAGGGAAACCAUUGAUGGUCUGUUUCAGUAAUCCAGGAGUUAGAGAUUCAAAACUUGAAAGGACUGGAAUUGGUGAGAAAUGGUUGGAUUCAGGAUAUAAUUCAGCAAUGGAACUUGGACGACUUACGAAUAGAUUGGUUAUAGGUUGUGAAGAGGAAAGAUGACACUAUGAUGACUACUAAGUGAUACCGAGACAUGUUUACGAACUGUGAUUGGUAGAAAAGAAUAAAUUAACCAUGUAGAAGAGAAUGGGAUAAUUGAAGAAGUGAAGUCCUUUAGGGUACAACAGCAUAUGGGAACCAGGCCUCAUAUAGAAACAGGAGCACUUCAUGAUCACAAGAGGGAUGACAGAGUACAAGCAGGUCUGCUGCACGAGAGUCAGAACAUCACUACAAAAUGAAAAACCUGCACCAGGAGAGAAGCGAGAAGGCACUGCUAAGGGACACUCGAUUUACUCAAGAUGGAAUAAGUACAAAGUUACGUAGUCAGGAGAACUAGUACGAAAAAGGAAUCAGUGACAACGGCCUCCUUGAGCUUCCUACAUGGGAUGCCUGCUGCAGAACUGUCCCUUAGUGAGCCGUGGUGAAGAGGAUCUGCAAAACGGGAUAAUCUUUCUUGAGCAGGGAGGUGAAAGAACCCAGCAAUGGCAUGGAUGGAUGUCCUUGGAAGAAUGGAAGGCCCCAGUGUGGUGGGGUGAGGCUUACAUAAAAGCACCCCCAAAUGCCAUUCACUUUCUUCUUCCUUCCUAAAAUAAUUGAAACUGUGGCUAUUGGUAAGCACCUGGUCUUUGCCCAGCAUUGUAGCAGAGGCUAUAGCAGGAGGCCAGACGUCCAGCUCCCCAGGGAGUAAGGGGUCCCAUGGACACAGCCUGAUGGGACCAGCCAUGAUGGCGGGCAGAGCUGUGUCUGGAAAGGAGUCCAAACACCAAAUUCUAGUAUUGGGAUCUUCAUGGUGAUCAUUUGCAAGGCCUCAAUUCUGCCACAGGCUGUUCUACUAUUCCUUGUUCUACUGUUCCUAGCUUUUUCUUAACACUAUUUGCUAAAUGCUCUUCUUUUGGCCAUAUAAAACUGUUAUUCCUCAGACUACAUACUUAUAAUUUGUGUGUUAUUUUUCAUUCUGCCCUAAAGUUCUAAAGUCCAGAAAUGCCUUUUCAUAUCUUCGCUAUAUACACACACAUAUAUGGAAUAGCAAACUGUGAUUCUCUCCUUGAACCACCCAGGAAUAAUAAAUAUGUGGACUUUUUGAAGGUAGAGACUGUGGCUUGUCAACGACUGUAGAGUUAAAAAACAUGAGUUAUUUCUUUUGAAUAAGUAGGACAAAUAUCACCAGUAUAUUGUAGGUACAAUCAGCUAAACUCUUUUUCCCACAAACGCUGGAUAAAUUUUGUGAUCACAAUUACUGACAUAAUAAUAGUUUUCCUUUCACUGGGAAAAGUCUUCUGUAAUUUUGUGUUCAUUUUGCCUUUUUGCCUGUUUACUGCUAAAAAGCGUGAUAGUCAAAUUGUCUUCUCAUUCAAAUUCUUAACGUUAUGUUGUGAUUUAAAAUCAGAGCCAAAAACACAGAGCUGCUUAUUCACAUUUCUCUAAUUUUUUUACCUAACAAAAAAGAAUAAAUCAUUCACAGACAUCUGAAGAAAAGUUACAUAAUUUUAAAAAAUUAUUACAUGGAGAGUUACUAAGGGUAUUGAGUGAGUUAAAUAUCCAGGAAUUGAUGGCUCUGGUCAGUCUCAUUUUACAGAAUCACUGGGGAGUGAUUUGCAUGUUUUGAAUUUUUAGAAUUUACUUGAUAAAAUAACAUGCAAAUGGGGAGAAUAAAGACAUGAACAAAUUUUAAGUGGCUACCUAGAGAGCCAAGUCUUAAAUUCUCCAACCACUCAUUAUUCCUGAGCUUGAGAAUAAAUCAAUGAAUCAAGAUAAAGCAUGAGUGAAAAGGAAUAAUACUGGGAUAGCCACCAAAGUUUCUUUUAGAAUAAAGAAAAAAAAAAACAGAACGAACAGUUGUGUAUAGUAGCACUGAGAACAUUAGAAUUUCCUUCUUUUGACCCUUCUAGAUAUACUUAUUGUAAUUGUGUUUGGCUCCAGCACUCCUCCUCUUGUUUUUAUUUUGAAUUAGGUCCAGACUUUUUAGCUCCAGGGAAGCUAGGAGUAGUACUAAAAUUGCUCUUUCACUUAAACAGAGCUAAUUGCAGCUACGAUGUCGUUCAUAGACUGGAAAUUAAUGA